rnacentral:rRNA from 1 species
GAUGAACGCUAGCGACAGGCCUAACACAUGCAAGUCGAGGGGCAGCAUUAUUAAAGCUUGCUUUAAUAGAUGGCGACCGGCGCACGGGUGCGUAACGCGUAUGCAACCUACCCAUUACAAGAGGAUAGCCCAGAGAAAUUUGGAUUAAUACUCUAUAGUAUUUACUCUAAGCAUUUAGAGUUUUUUAAAGGAUUCGUUCUGGUAAUGGAUGGGCAUGCGUAUGAUUAGCUAGUUGGUAGGGUAACGGCCUACCAAGGCAAUGAUCAUUAGGGGUUCUGAGAGGAUAGUCCCCCACACUGGUACUGAGACACGGACCAGACUCCUACGGGAGGCAGCAGUGAGGAAUAUUGGUCAAUGGACGCAAGUCUGAACCAGCCAAGUCGCGUGCAGGAUGACUGCCCUAUGGGUUGUAAACUGCUUUUAUAUAGGAAUAAUGUUAGUUACGCGUAACUAUUUGAAUGUACUAUAUGAAUAAGCACCGGCUAACUCCGUGCCAGCAGCCGCGGUAAUACGGAGGGUGCAAGCGUUAUCCGGAUUUAUUGGGUUUAAAGGGUGCGUAGGCGGGUUCAUAAGUCAGUGGUGAAAGUCUGUCGCUUAACGAUAGAAUUGCCAUUGAAACUGUGGAUCUUGAAUACAGUAGAGGUAGGCGGAAUAUAUUGUGUAGCGGUGAAAUGCAUAGAUACGAUAUAGAACACCGAUUGCGAAGGCAGCUUACUAUGCUGAGAUUGACGCUGAUGCACGAAAGCGUGGGUAGCGAACAGG